rnacentral:lncRNA from 1 species
CAAUCGCACACUCUAGCUUCUUCAAAGAUAGUUUACUUGACAUGGAGAAAGUGAACAUGAAAUAGACUAUUGCAAUGUUUCACAGGCCUAAGGACUUUGUUUGUGGUUCUAUCGCUCAUACAUAAAAUAGUGUUUGCACAUAGUAUACUGAAUGAAUGAAAGAUUUAAUAGUUUGUAAGCAGCCAACCUAUGGAAUGAUUUAUAAAAAAUAGUUCCUUAGCAAAUAUGUGAUUAGAUCCUUGAGCAGGAGGAUAAAACAACUCUACUAUUUUGAGAUUACUCAUUGAAGGCUGAAUGUGAUCAUAAAAUACAUCCUUUUGUUCAGAAAGUUUAACUCUUUGAUUGAUGUUUCAUAAAUAAAUAUUAUAAAACUAAGUUAAU